CCCUUAGAUGUCCUGGGCCGCACGCGCGUUACACUGAUGCAUUCAACGAGCUUAUAACCUUGGCCGAGAGGCCUGGGCAAUCUUGUUAACGUGCAUCGUGAUAGGGAUGGAUUAUUGAAAUUAUUAAUCUUGAACGAGGAAUUCCUAGUAAACGCAGAUCAUCAAUCUGCAUUGAUUACGUCCCUGCCCUUUGUACACACCGCCCGUCGCACCUACCGAUUGGAUGGUCCGGUGAAGCCUCGGGAUUGUGGUUCUUGCCGCUUUAUUGUGGCGUGGCCGCGAGAACUUGUCUAAACCUUAUCAUCUAGAGGAAGGUGAAGUCGUAACA
rnacentral:rRNA from 1 species